AUCCUCUGUAACGAAGUAAGCAGACAAGGUGAACUAUUUUUAUUUUCCUCAAGGCCUGAGAAAGGAAGUGCCACUGUGGGGUCCCUACUGUGGAGCUGAACCCCUACCCCAAGACCAAGCUUAAGGAACAGCACUGGGACAGCAGGCAGGCACCAGGGUAGAGAGGGAAGGGGCCACUCUCCUUUCCUUGUUCACUCAAGACUCAGGUGGGCCAAGGGCAAAGGUGUCAUCUAAGCAGGAUUGUGUCCUGACAGCCCCAUCUGAGUUCCCAGGAGCAAAGGGCAGGAAGCCUGGGGCAGGGUUCUUCCCACGCACCCAUGCACACAUGCAUGGGAGCACACAAGACGCUUUACCACAGUAAAUACUGAUACCUCUCCAGGAAGGAGAGGCUCUAGCAUGAGGUCUAUAGCAAUAACCAUACGCUGGCCAGGAGUGUCUUAGGCUUUGAAGGGCAUCACUGAAGUCUUGAUGGUGACCUGCAGAUAACCAUCCAGCCCGUCAGCACACUCUGACCCCACUCUGAAAGAGGGUGGGGAGGUUGUCUAGGGAGAUCGCUGUCUGGUCUACCUGCCCCUUCUCCUGAGCUGCGGUCUUCCUCCCAGUGCCCUGCUCUCCUUCCUCAUGCCCAGGACAGCUGGUGUCUCUGCCCUGGCAGAAUAUCCCACACCAUACUCUGACCUGAAGGCAGAAGGAGAUGAGAUGAAGGACAUGAAGAUUUUACUGGACGGAGCGUCUUUGGAAUGAGCAUCCGGUGUCUCUGGCUGGAAAGCACUGAUGCUCUCACCCAGGACAUGGGCACAGAGAUCAUGUGGAGGAAGCAGCCCUGUAGCUGGGGCAGAAGGGUCUACAUCAGAAGCUCAGCAGCAAAGCGAUGUCAACACCCAGCUCCCACCUGGGAAGACUCCGAUGGCUCCCAGCAGUGUCUACAGUGAGCCUUCUGCUUCAGGUCCAGUGCCCUGGCAUUCAUCAGGCAGCAAAUGCCAGGGUUCUUACUCCUUACCUUGUGCUCUGGAGCCUGGCCAGGCAACAAUGUGCUAUCCAGGCCGCACCUCCAUACCCCAGAUGGCAUCCAUCGCCCAGAGCCAGGACAUAUCGUCGGCUCCCCUCAGAUGGCCAGCGUGGCGCCCAUCCUCCCUCUCCUGACCGGGAGAGCAUCCCGCCCCAAACCUGACAGAGUCGCACUGGGUCCCAGUCUGUUAGUACCUCCCGUGGCUCCUCCCAGCCCUGUGUGGGGGGCAGGUUCUGUGGCCCUUCUGUUCCCAAGCAGUGACUUUGCUGAGCCUGGUGACCCUCUGUGCAUGCAGGCCCUGGCGUUUCUCCACGGGAGCUGCAGUGCAUGAGUGUCGCAUUCAGGCCCUGGGGGAAAGCUAUGCUCAUCCUGCGGCCUGGGAGGGCGGCCUGAGGACCCUUUCCUCUUCCCUCUCUUUCCUACCAUCUCUCCUUUAGUCUGUUCUUUAUUCAUAUUUUGUGCCUCUUAUAGAAACAAAGUCUUGGGAUAUUUAGCCUUCUGAGUCUGGUUUAUUUCACAUAUUAUUAUGGUCUUAAAGUACAUUCAUUUUCCUCCCAAUGCCUCAAAUGUCUUUCUUUAUGGCUGAGUAGUAUUCCUCUGUGUGUAACUGUCAUUUUUCACAUUCAUUUGCUGAUGGCAUUUGAGGCCUGUUCUUACCUAUGCUGACCUGUGACUAGAUUAGGUGUUUAUUUUGGUGUUUUCAAUGGAUUUUCCAUAAAUCUUUAGAUUCCAUAGUUGAAUUCAGCAAACAUUGGCAAAGCAUGUCCUGGGCAACCGGAACUGUGGUUGGUGUCUGGAACACAAAGAUGGGUAAGACAGUGCCUUGUCCCCACUACCCAAACCCCCCCACCUCAGACAGACUGGCCACCAACGAGUGCCAAAGCAAAGCUGUGGGAACCACCAAGGAGUGUGUCUCGUGUGCAACAUGACAGAACCACACCCAGAAACACACCAAGCCUGCAAACUGACUCCGUCACAGUGGAGCAAACACGAGUGACCUGGACUCUGCGCUUGGGCUUGACACCCGGAGCACAUGAGCAAGGAAGCCGCAAACAAAUCCUGGAGUCAGGAUCAGCUCCGGAGUCCUCUUGCCUGAGUGUUUCCUGUGGCUGCCUUGAAGUCCGGCAUGGACUUGAGUGUUCACAGCAGUUUCUGCCAAAGAAGCGGGAAGCUGCAGCCUCACCGUGUUACUUUCGGGAUCCGACACUGCAGGCUUCCGGCCGCUCCCCACAGCUGAAGGGACCUUGAAGGGAAGUGUUUGAAUGGACUCAGGACACUGAGGCAGGUGUGGGGGGUCACCAUCUGUGCAAGGUCCAAGCCUAGGCGAGGCAGAGGCCAGUCGGCCUGGAGCCAGAGUCAGCGCCCUGGACACAGCUCCUUCCCAUCUGCCCCGUCUGUGUUUUGAUGACUAAGUAACCACUUCCUUGAAUUCUCCACAACCCCCAACUCCAGGCUGAUGCUGUCUACGAGAAAAUUUUUGCUUGUGCUUGGCAAAAUGAGAAAAAAAAAAGAGUAGACUACAGUGAUUUUUAAACAUUUUUUUUCAGUACUAGAAACUGAAACUUGUGAUCCUCUCACCUCAGCCUCCCAGAGUGCCGAGAUUAUACCCUGUGCCACCAUCCCUGACUUCACACACAUUUUAAAUUAAAAGAAAUGUUCAUUCUGCCGUUA